rnacentral:rRNA from 1 species
CUUCCCUUUAACAAGCAGGCACUAACGCCCCAUCUCUUGUCUCGCUCGCAGGCACCGAAGAAGGAGAAGGCCCUAACGGCGUCGUCGAAGCCGGCCAAGUCCGGCGAUGGCAAGCAGGAGAAGAAGGAGUGGAGCAAGGGCAAGCAAAAGGAGAAGGUGAACAAGGUGGUGCUCUUCGACCAGGCCACCUACGACAAGCUGCUCACCAAGGUGCACAAGUACAAGCAGAUCACGCCCUCCGUCCUCUCCAAGCGCCUCAGGGUAACCUCCUCCCUCCCUCUGCCGGAUCUCUUCUUCUUGCUUGCCUCUUUCCUUACUUCCCGUGAGAACCGAGAUCUCCGGACGUCAAUCAGUGGACCCUGGGCAAGAACAAGGUCACACCCAUGCGCUCUACGCCUGUCU